UACAGAGGGGGCAAGCGUUGUUCGGAAUUACUGGGCGUAAAGGGCGCGUAGGCGGCCUUCUAAGUCGAACGUGAAAUCCCCGGGCUCAACCCGGGAACUGCGUCCGAUACUGGAGGGCUUGAAUCCGGGAGAGGGAUGUGGAAUUCCAGGUGUAGCGGUGAAAUGCGUAGAUAUCUGGAGGAACACCGGUGGCGAAGGCGGCAUCCUGGACCGGCAUUGACGCUGAGGCGCGAAAGCCAGGGGAGCAAACGGG
rnacentral:rRNA from 1 species